GUUUAUAAGUAUUGGACAUGAGAAAAUCCAAUAACUCUCUUAAACAAUCUUGAAUAUCAAUUUUGGUAUGACAAUGUAAUCAAUUAUCUUCCUCUCCUCGGGCUGGAACAAGAGAUAUGUGUUUUGGGAGAAGAACCAGAAGCAUAUCAUCUGUAUCAAAUCGGAUCUACGAUCAAAUCCAAAAAUCAUCAACAUCUUUAGAUCUUUCACCAACUCCUCCAAAUCAAAGUAGUCCUUCUAAUUUUCCUGAUUUGGGUGGUGAUCUGAAGUUGGUUCUAAAUGAUUUAGUUUUAAUAUUCUUCCAAGUACUAGGAUGUUUAACUAAUCGAUCUCUUAGAUCUCAAUUUCUUUCUGUCAUUAUGUAUAAUUUCAGUACUAAUUUAAAGGGGUUGCUACUUUGUUCUUUGGGUCUGGUUUACUUUUUUAGUAAUCUUGAUUCUUCAUAUGGAAGCAUAUUUUUGGGUUGGUGCUUAUGUUUUAAUGUUUGUUCUACUCGCUGGAGAUGUUAUGAAGAUAUGGAGCAAGCUUGGCAUCUGUUCAGAUUUAUUUCAAGAACUAAGUCUACCAGCAACAUGCAUAACAGCAACUCAAACUUUGGAAACCGAGAAAACAUCAACUCAUUCAUCAAGAUCCCAUAGAUUUCAUCGACCAAAGUAAUUUAUAACACACCUCCAAUGCUGAGACAGCCCGAUUAUUUCCAAUUCAUACUUUUAAAGACUGAUUCAGACUACCACUGGUACUCAAGACACUAUGGAUAUUGCUGCUAUUCAAGACAUUUUGGUUACUAUUCAAGACAUUUUGGUUACUUUUCUGUUACUUCUACUUAGGUCAUUGCUACCCUGAUUGUGUUAGGAAAUCAAAAUUUAAAAAACUCCUUUUCAUGUUA